GCUCGCGCGGGCGCGGGACUCCGGCGGCCCCACCGCGGGGCCUCGUCCUCCAACUCGCGGCUGCAAGGGCCUGGGCGGGACAGCGGGGGCCGAGGGCGGAGAAUUACCGCACGGGGGGCUGCCGGAGCCUUCCGGGCGGGUGCGCGGGGCCUCAGGGUGCAGGAGGCCGGGGUCGACGAGGACGCUCCCGCGGGGCCUGAGGCCGCGGCCGUGCAGGAGCGGAGGGAGGGGGGCGAGCCCGCGAUCCGGGACCCGGCCGAGCGCGGCUUCUCUGACGUUUCUACAGAGACGGAGCGAGUCGGCACCAGGACUUUCUCCCUGGGUCCCCUUCCAAAAUGCAGCCCCCGCCGUCACCCGCCUCCUCGAAGAAAGCGCGGGCACCCAUCACCCGAGUUUUGACGUUGGAGUUUAGAUUGGUAUCAGCGACGCGAUAAGGCUGUGUUGGCUUGGGAUAAAAAACGCGGAACUCUGCCUAGAGGAGAUUUGAUCAGCUUCCUGUGUGGACAAGUUCCUCUGCCUCAAAACUCUAGCGCUCCCCGAAGGCUGGCUGUAGUGUCGUCUAAACAGCUGCUUCAACGGAAACCAGCUCAUCUGUAGAGACUGUUUUGCAACCCAUCCGGGAAGUUAUAGCUCUGCGUGGUUCUGUUGAUCUCCAGCUUCUGGCUGUUCCCCAUGACGUUCUCUCUUUUUGUCUGAAUUUCAUUCUGCCUAAACAGGAUUCCAGGAUUCCUGACUAAAGCACAGCCUGAUUCACUGAGCCAUACCCUUCAGUUGGAAGCCAGCAAGGUUCAUCCGGGUUGUAGCGUGGAUCACAACUUCAUUCAUUCUUGCCGCUGAAUAACGGUCCACCGCGUGGAGAGGCCGCAUUUUGCUUACCCCUUCAUCAGCGGACGGACCCUCCCGGGGCUUCCCGCCUGGCUUUCGGGAGCGAUGCCGCUGGGAGCGUUCCUGGAAAGGCGGUCCUUUCUCCUGGGUCGGGGGUCGCCGCGCCACGCACUCCGCCGCGUCCGACCAGGAGAAGCACUUCUUUCCUGAGUCUCUCGCUCUGAUGCCCAAAUGCAAACAGGCCGAGGAGC